rnacentral:lncRNA from 1 species
UUUUUUUUUUUUGUCAAGUUAGGGGUAAGACUAUCUAGUUGACUGUGAGCUCUAGUGGACCUGGAUCAGAUGAGGCCCCAACUUUGGCGUGUUGUGCCGGAACCAUUGCACACUCUCAACUGUUUAUAUCCACAAUUCAGAUCAAAGCAUCAUUCACUUUUUUCUAGAACUCUCCUGCUAUGGACACUGAGAAAUGACGCACCAAAAGGAGCUGGUAAUUUAGGACAUCACGAUUUCACUCCAACUUUAUUCCAGUCCACAAGAAAAGUUCAGGAUCUUUUAUUCCCGAAACUGAAUAACUUUAAACAAUCCCAUAGCAGGACAAAAAGAUUUGCCAGCAGAUUCAUUGACUAUUGUGUUUCAUGAAUGGAAGCAUGCACGGAGAGCUGCUAGGCUAGGAGGGUACCAGUCAUCACAGCGACAGCUUCUCCCUGAAUUCGCACUCUCCUGCCUGCAGGUUCCAACUCCAGGUGUAAUAUUCCGCUCCGUCGAGAUGCCUGAUGACAUGCGGAUUAACUUGAAAACCAAUUUGACGGUGGUCGAGGAAAGAAGUAAUCAAACACUUAAGCAUUGUUAGAAGGACAUACUUGAAAUGCUGUCAGUUUCUGCUUUCCCAGCUUCGCGCCCCAAAAGGGUGCUAAAACACAGUGCGCACUGCCACAAACGGGGUCCUGUCCAAAACAUAAUGAUUAGAGGGGGGGUUUUUUCCUAAAGAUCAGGAAGCGUAUAUUAAUAAGAUAAGAAGAAAAGAGUUGAUCCGGUUUACGAGGGAAACCGGAUUCAAAAACCUUACAACCACCAACCUUAUCACCACCACUUACGGAGCACACCUGAGGCUACAACUACAACUACCAACAAGCCGCAUACAACUACAACUAUCUACAAGCGACCGGGCCCAUCACGGGUCAUCGUUGCUGAGCUUGCCAAGGAAGACAGCAGCUCCGACUCCACAAUUAGAGGGUUUGACCGUGAAAUUUGCAAGCUAACACAAGCAUGGAAACCAACACAGAAAAAACUUUGCCAGCCACGAACAUUCAUGAGAAAAAAUGGACCUGGCGUCUAAAGGCAUUGAAGUGAGGUUCCAUUCCAGGAAACAAGCUGUUUGCCAAGAUGUGCAUUUCCACAAAGUAGUAGAGUUUUCAUUUCUGAUUUUUCUUUACAAGCCCAACAUGACAUAGAUUAUCCUACUCUGUUACCAGACAAAUCUAGUCAUCGUUGAGUCAGUAGGUACUUCAUAUGUAUGAACAGGAACUGUGGAACCUUGGUAUGUUUGAAAGAGAAUGAAUAACUAACUACAACGAUGGAAAGAAUAGCCAGUCUCAUAGAUUGUUCUCCUUCUAAACUGCGUAUGGCAAUAUGCCAUUCAAAUCUCCUAUAACAAUCUCAUUGAGAAAGAAGAUGUCAUAACAGUUUAGUCAUUUUAACAUUAGGACUGGCAGGAUGAUAACGUUCCGCAAUCAGAGAGCUCUACAGUAUAUAUGUUAUACAGGAGUAAUAUGCAUGAGGUCGGAUCGAAUUAAUUCUUGAGAGGAGAUUUUGAUAAAAAUAUAGUAUACAUAUUUGACAGAUAAUGGAUGCGUCAUUGUAGUUUAGUUUGUAUGUUAAGCAAGCUUCAACACUCACCAUAGUUCAGGGAAAAGAUUACGGCAUCACCUCACCUCAUCUAUGUUUAGUUUUGGGCAGAAGAAACGCGUGAAGAAGUCAUAACCAGAUCCCUCAGGUGCUGGCCCUGUAAAUACAACUCCUCUGCCUGAACAGUUUUUAAUUUCAUGGAUGUUAGGAAUGAUAUCGGCAACCUCUUUUCCUGAUGAAAGCUCCACCUGAAAACCGAAUCACAUUUUCUUUUUGUGAGUUACACCUGAACAAAUAGAACUCCCUCAUUAUCACUCUUGUUUAUCUUUGUUCUAUAGCUUUACUUAAGUUUAUGCACCUUAUAAAUAAUUUUAGUGUUAUUGUACAUAGUAAUAUUAUGUUGUUGAGCAACUGUUUGGAAUUAAUAUGUAUAACUUCUCCAGUCCUGAUCGAGGAAAAUCUAGAAAUUGAAGAAAGGAGCAACUGAAGUAAGGAUUAGUUGAUUAGAGGAAUUACAAUGAGGUCACCAGCAGUCGCCGACUUCUGAACGCUGACGACGGAAGCUCCGUUCAGGGUCUGGGGGAUGGACGGCAGCUCGGCAGGAUGGCAAUCGACAAGGUCAAUCAUGGGGAAAUCCAGCUCGAUGAACAGCUUCCCCUCACCUGAGGCCGCCGCACUCGCCGGUGCAGGAACCUUCUCGGCGGUGAGAAUCCCCGAUUUGGUCGCGAAUUCGAUGAGCGUCUCGUGCUCCGCGAGGACGGAUGUGAAGAGAAAGUGAGCGGAGGCCAGCGUCGCGUGGCCGCAGAGCUCGACCUGGAGCGGCGGCGCGAAGGCUCUUCUCAAGAUUGAAAAAACGAGUGGCUGUGCAACGGUGAGGUGGAUGGGGGUACCUCGGCGGCGGGGGUGAACCAUCGGAGCUGGAACCGUGGGGCGGCGGCGGAGGAGGAGUCGCGGAGGAGGAAGGCGGUCUCGGCGAGGUUGAACUCGGCGGCGACGGACUGCAUCCACCGCUCGUCGGCGGCCUUGGCGGCGUCCUCGAGGAGGCAGACCGCGGCCGGGUUGCCCUUGAACGGCUCCGCCGUGAAGGCGUCCACCUGCGACGGCCACACCGGCGACAACGCCACGUCAUGCCCCGUGCAGAUCGAGAGAAGGGAGUGCAGAGCAGAGCUGUACUGACCACGGCGUACUGGAUGCCACUCUUGGCCAUUCUUGCGACGACGAGCACUGCUGACCGGGGCUCUGUGCUAUCGCCAGCGGCGGCUGCUGCUCCGGCACUUCUUUGUGUUGGGUUUUAUACAUGUGACUGUGAGUGCGUCCUGCUGACUGCUGAGUGCAGCAAUCAGCAGUGACGACAUUCCACUUGUCGCGUUCCUCGUGAAAACUCAAACCCAGAUUGGAACAAAUUUAAUCAAAUGGUAUCGUAUCCAAAUCCGUCCGAAUACUCAGAUCCAAAUAAAAUGAAUAACAAUAUUCGACACAAUUCGACACAUCUUAGCACUAUUCGUAUCCAAAUUUGAUCCAUGUAUAUCGUACAGAUCCGAUCCAUUUUCAUCCAGUGCCUAACAUGGAGUCACCACAGGGGAACACUCCCUACCAACAAAAAAAGAAAAAAAAAACAGCUCCCACAUCCCACACCACAGGUCAUAAGUCUCCCAAGAACAAUUACAAUCCACUGGACUUCUGCACCCACGUUGGCUUAAACAUAGCUAGAACACCGUAAAGAUGAAGUUAAACAACACCAAGCAACAGAAGAAUGCAUUCAUAAACAAACCUUAGAACCAAAAUGUAUCUGGCGUAAGGUCAUUGCACAUGUCAGGCCUCCAUAAACUUAAAGUGGGUAUGUGUAGACAGUUAGGUACAACAAGAGUGACAACCUAAAAGACAACCGUGUCAAGCAUGGUUCCUAAGGUCUGAACUAUGUUUGAUGACAUUAAAUUCGACACAUGCUCUUCCAAAUGCUUCUUCGCAUCUUGCCGACCAACAUUUGCUAUCGCGAGUUUCUCAGGUGGCAGCUCAUCCUCCUC